GACGAACCGUCCAACCGUUAUUCGGAAUUACUGGGCUUAAAGGGUGCGUAGGCGGCGCGGAAAGUUGGGUGUGAAAUCCCUCGGCUCAACCGAGGAACUGCGCCCAAUACUACCGUGCUCGAGGGAGAUAGAGGUGAGCGGAACUUAGGGUGGAGCGGUGAAAUGCGUUGAUAUCCUAAGGAACACCGGUGGCGAAAGCGGCUCACUGGAUCUCUUCUGACGCUGAGGCACGAAAGCUAGGGUAGCGAACGGG
rnacentral:rRNA from 1 species